AAUGAACGUUGGCGGCGUGGAUUAGGCAUGCAAGUCGAACGAGAACCCCGCAAGGGGUGAAAGUGGCAAACGGCGUAGUAAGGCGUAGGUGACGUACCUCCCGAUUCAGGAUAGCUACGGGAAACUGUAGGUAAUACUGGAUGAUCCCUCCGAGAUUGAAAAUCGGAGUGCAAAGGUGUGAUUCCGUCGGGAGAGCGGCUUACGUGGUAUUAGCUAGUUGGUGAGGUAACGGCUCACCAAGGCUUCGAUGCCUAGGGGGGUGUUAGCGCAUGACCCCCACCGACUGGGACGUGAGAUACUGCCCACGACACCUACGGGUGGCGUGCAGUCGAGAAUCUUCGGCAAUGGGCGGCAAGCCUGACCGAGCGACGCCGCGUGCGGGAGUGAAGGCCCUUGGGUUGUAAACCGCUGUCAGAGGGGAUGAAGUGCAGGUGGGCUAUCCCACCCUGUUUGACAUAGCCUCAGAGGAAGCACGGGCUAAGUUCGUGCCAGCAGCCGCGGUAAU
rnacentral:rRNA from 1 species